AUGGCAAAAACCAGUGCUUCAGUUGUUCUAGCUGUCCUUGUUGUAGAAUUAUUUCUGAAUGGCUAUAAUGCUGCUGAGAGUGUAGAAAGAGGUUAUCAACCUGAGAAAGCAGGAGUUGACGGAUUGAUACAUUGCUUUCUCGUAUCAUGUCCUGCUAUUUACUGUUCAAAAUUUUGUGUGUUAAGAGGCUUCCCUAGAGGUGGUUCUUGCUUAGGAGGAUCCUCUGGAUCGUGUUGUUGCUUUGGAGAUGCCUAA